AGACUCAGAUAGUGACAAUCAGGAAGAUGGUCCCUCGGAGGCAGAUUUCUGGAAGGGUCCACCACAGGACGCAGAAGAAAAAACAAGGGAGGAAGAAUUUGAUGAGUACUUUAAAGACUUGUUUCUCUGAGAUGAGAUCUACAAAUCUGCAACUCACUUCUUCAUAUUCAUCAAAAUCUGUAAAUAAAAAGCAAGUUUUCACAUUUCAUUCAACAUAUUUUUUAAAAAUAUGUUUUCACUUGCAUAGGAGAUAGGAAUUAUCCCUGUGUAUCUCUUUCACAUCCAUCCAUAACUGUUAGUUUAAAUUAAAACUUUUGGGAGUAGUUUUUGUUUUUGUUUUAUAAUGCCAGUGUUUAAAAACUGUAAUGAGAUGUUAUUCAUAGUUUGGUAAGAUUCAGCAUUACCUGUGAUGAAAAGGUAGACAGUUUAGAGAAGCUGAUGUUAGCCAAAAAGACAAAGAAAAAAAAAAAGCCACACAGGAACAUUUGAGUUUUGCUUUAAUUCUGUUCAUUAAUCUGUAAGGAGGGGGAGAAAACAGUUCUAGGGUUAGAUGCAGAUCUUCCAAAAAGUCAGACUCAGUACAGCUACACUCAUGCAAGAUAAGGAAUCUUGAAGAAUCAAGACCAGGAGGCCCCAAACUGUUCAGCUCAUCGACCUCUUCACGAAGUCUCACAUUGUUCAUUGACCCCCAAACAUUUAUUACAUGAAAAUAAUUUAGUAAAUACUACUUUCACUAAUUGUACUAUGUAUAAUAACAACAACAAUAAUAGUAAUAAUAAUGGAUAGUCCCAUCAACCCUUGGUGGUCAAUAUUGACCACUUUGGGGAACCCUGACCUAGACUGCUGAGUAUCCUCAGUUGUCUAGUAAUGGUUUAUCCUGUCUCUGUAAAUACCUUUUUCUACCAGUAUCCACCAUAUUUGCAAUGCCAUUUUCCUUCUUUUCUUUCAAUCUUCUCCUCUGGUUUCUCAGCAGUUCUGCGUUGGGUACCAUUGUACUGGCAGUCAGCCACCUGAGUUUGCCAUUAAAGGGGGAUGGUUCAUAGUGCUGGGCAGCACUUCAGUCUUGAAGGCAAAAAGAUGCUUUCGUGGAAGGCGAGGGCAAUCGCAUAGUCCCUGUCUGCAGCUCCUUGACACAGCUGCAUCUUUCCUGAAAUCUUACAGCUGCUCUCUGCAUUGCAGCAUAAUCCAUGCAAAGUUGUGACUUCUGUGACUUCCAGAGGAGGUAUGGCGAACUGAAGACAUCUCUAGGAAAGCAGAGCUGAUGACUGCGGCAAAGACCAAAGGGUACUUUGCUUGUGCUAACACACAUUGUGAGGCCCCUCUUUCAAAUCCUUUGCACAGCCCCAGUGUUUGCAUCUUGAGCAAAGUAAGAUCAAGUUCUUUCAUUACAAUUGAAAUUGACAUAUGGCACAUCUGCAAACAUACCAUGGUACUCAAUGUGACUAUCACUUUUAAAACUAACAGUUGAAUAUGCUAUCUAAUCAGAUUCCUGAUGUUUUUUAAGUUAUUUGUUCAUGAACAUGCUUGUUUCAUAAUGCACAGCUUGGAUGAAUGUUCAAACAUCUCAGCGUAGAGAAAAACAGAGAUAAAGUUGGUGAAGGUACGUAAGAACUCAUAGCUGAUAAAUGAAGCAGUAAAUGACACUUUAGCCUUGGGAAGGGAGGGUGUGUGAGAAAUAGACUAAGAAUAACUUUGCUUUGAUUCUGUAUGAUGUAAGAAGGGGCAGAGAGAAACCCUGGCAGCCUGUUGACAUUCUGUUAUCAUAUCCUAUAGCAAUGAACUAGAGUCGCAGAGUUUGUUUCCUCACCCAGCUUCUCAAAGGACUGACACUCAAACAGCUACUUAAAAUAAAUGCAUUUUUCACAGAUCAUGUAUAUAGAAGUAAGGGUGAAACAAGGCUAAACAAGAGUGUCCUCAAAAGAAAGGUAGUCUUCUUUGAGGGCUUCUUUACAUAAGAAGAUGGAUUUAAAGAUUAAUUCUUUGUCAUGUUGCAAGAUGGCAGUCAAAUCCAAUAAGCGGCAGUCAGUUUACAUCUGUGUAGCUGGUCUCUCAUGAGCUUUAGAGGAGCUGUUUGCUAUAGUUGCUUUUCCAAGCCCUGUUAAACAUCUGUCUGUUUUGCAUGCCUAACUUUCUUGUAGAAUUUUGUAAUGUAGUUAUUGAAAUAAAUCCACACCUGGUGAUAUAAAGUACAUGAUGAAAAGCAAA